UGUUUUCUGAGUCGCCGGGGGGGGCUUUGCGCGCGGCUGAGGUGGUUCCGCUGGGGCAGCGCUUGGGUGACCUAGUCGCGGCCUUUGCUGCUCGGCCGCCUCUCUGUCCCCGCCCUGCUCUGGGGCGCGGGAACGGGCUGCGUUGCCUCGCCGUGCGCCGAAGGACAGGGCUGACCGGCGGGGCUCCGUCGACCUCCGCUCCCCCGCCUGCGGUACAAGGUGCUGCCCUGCCUGCGUGUGUUCCCAUGGCGCCAUGAGGCCGGGGAGGUAACGCCUUGCGGGGCCGUUGGGCUCCAACUGGCCCAUUGCAGGCAGAGACCGAUCAUUCUUAUAUUCUACCUUGCUGCUGACAAUCCUCAUGGUAAGAAGACCCCUGUGAACUGCUUCUGACACAAUCUACAAAACUCAGCACCAAGAUAAGGUCUACAGGACCCUUCAAGGGACUCCAUGGUCUGGGCCCAGGAUACUUAAAAGGUCGCCUGAAGCUCCAGGAUGAGGACCAUGGUCAACAACAAUGGAGCUGUCCACAACCAGCGUAAAUCUCCCUGCAUAGGAGACCGAGCUUUCUUUGGGUCGGUUCUAGCCUGUGGAACAUACUCCCACAGGAUAAAAGAACCAAAUCCAACACUUCCAUUCUAAGGGCAGGUACCUGAGGUGAAACUCCUGAUGUCUGCUGUGCACCAGCAAGGACCUGAGACAAACUGCACCCUCUGCAGAGCCUCUGCCAGGCUGUGAAAGUCACCAGCCCCACAAUUCCAGUGACUUU